rnacentral:rRNA from 1 species
AGGGCUGGGCAAGACCGGUGCCAGCCGCCGCGGUAACACCGGCGGCUCGAGUGGUGACCGUUAUUAUUGGGCCUAAAGGGUCUGUAGCCGGCCUGAUAAGUCUCUGGAGAAAUCCGGCAGCUUAACUGUCGGGCUUGCUGGAGAUACUGUCUGGCUCGAGGCCGGGAGAGGUGAGAGGUACUUCCGGGGUAGGGGUGAAAUCUUGUAAUCCUGGAAGGACCACCUGUGGCGAAGGCGUCUAACUGGAACGGACCUGACGGCGAGGAACGAAAGCUAGGGGCACGAACCGGAUUACAUACCCGGGUAGUCCUGGCCUAAACCAUGUCGACUGGGUGUCGGCCAUGGUGUCGACCGUGGUCGGUGCCCAAAGGGAAGCCUGUGAAGCCAGCCGCCUGGGGAAGUACGGCCGCAAGGACUGUAACUUAAAGGAAUUGGCGGGGGGAACCACA